AGGUUUUACGCCCACUCCCCGAAACAGCUUUCACGCCACAAGAGAACGGAGGAGCAAAAAGAGGUAAUGCAUGAGCCUUGCCCACUUCACUGGACUCUCCGAAGACCCGGUGUACGGUCCCCGCCAGGCUUACCAAUUCCCGCUGUAACAGCAGUCAGCCUACCGUGCGAGCGAGGACCAAGUCAGCGUCACCAAAGCAGUGCCGUGCUGCGCCAGCUCCGCGACUGGCAAUUCUCAGACACCUUUAAUGAUGAGUAUGUCAUUUCUCUGAAGCCACCAUCUUUUCCAGUAAACACUUUUUCCUAACUGUCA